CGCGUAGGCGGUUGUGAGAGUGUGAUGUGAAAGCCCCGGGCUUAACCUGGGAAGUGCAUCGCAAACGUCAUGACUGGAGUAUAAGAGAGGGUGGCGGAAUUUCCGGUGUAGCGGUGAAAUGCGUAGAGAUCGGAAGGAACGUCAAUGGCGAAGGCAGCCACCUGGCUUAAUACUGACGCUGAGGCGCGAAAGCGUGGGGAUCGAACA
rnacentral:rRNA from 1 species